UGAGGAAUUUUGCGCAAUGGGGGCAACCCUGACGCAGCAACGCCGCGUGAGUGAUGAAGGCCUUUUGGUUGUAAAGCUCUGUCGCCUGGAAAGAACCCUUGGGGUAGGAAAUGACCCUGAGCUGACGGUACCAGGAAAGGAAGGACCGGCUAACUCCGUGCCAGCAGCCGCGGUAAUACGGGGGGUCCAAGCGUUAUUCGGAAUUAUUGGGCGUAAAGCGCAUGUAGGCGGUUGGGUAUGUCAGAUGUGAAAGCCCGGGGCUUAACCCCGGAAGUGCAUUUGAAACUGCCUGGCUUGAGUCUCGGAGAGGAAGGUGGAAUUCCCAGUGUAGAGGUGGAAUUCGUAGAUAUUGGGAGGAACACCGGUGGCGAAAGCGACCUUCUGGACGAUGACUGACGCU
rnacentral:rRNA from 1 species